rnacentral:antisense_RNA from 1 species
UGUGGGAGCGGGCUUGCUCGCGAUGCAUACACUUCAGUCUCAUCAGAAACCACGGUGAUGCUAUCGCGAGCAAGCCCGCUCCCACA